AUGGUGGUGCUACACCGCAGCCUCAAAAAUGAGGACCUGGUCGUCAGUCACCACCCUGCCCUCUGUGACAAUCCUGCAGGUCAACAUGAUGUUAAUGGGCAGCUGCUGCUUGGAGCUCCGAUCUGUGUCAAAGACCAGCUCCUCCAGGAUUUCAUAGCUCUGAGAGAUCUUGAGGGAGAUGAAGUGGCCCUGGAAGUUGGGCUCGAUUGUCCUGACCACUAUUGUUAUCCUCAGGUUCUCAUAGAUCACAUACUGGAGGCAAACCUGGGUGAUCUUGAUCAGGUCCCCCUUGCAGAGCCAGCACUCUUUCCCCCUGAUGUCAUAGAUGGAGUUCGAAUAAGGCAUGGGUUCCAUGGUACCCGUGGCUCUCUGCUGCUGAGUGAGGUCCUGGCCCUGGAAGGCCCCUUCCUCCUGUCCAUGGAGAUCCUGAAGGUUCCUGAAUGGUGCCACAUCUUCUUUAGCCCAUGGUGCGCUCCUUGAAGAGAGGCCAGAGGCUUUGCAUCUAUGGCCUAGCCUCACCACCCUGGUGGGUCCUGGCCUCAAACAAGGGCCUCAGGGAGCCCAGGGUCCUCCUGGUGUCAGGGGCCUACCAGGGCAAGAUACGGCAGCGGCCAAGGGAGUUCCCCACAGCCUAUGACCUCCCGGGUGCAUCCAGCCAGGCCGGCCGCUCCAGGUGUGGCCACAAAGGAUUCUGAGGGCAAGAGAGAAAAGAAUCCUAAGUUCACAUCCCUGGCUGUGGGUGACAGGCUAGAGGUACUGCAGCCUGGCCUGGCCCAUGGGGCCCAGGGCAGUGUCAUUGACGUCUUGGUUUGUCAGCCACUGAGUGAUGAAUAUGAGGAGGCAGAGAGCCCAAAGCGGGUCCUGCUGCCCCUCCACUUCCCUGACAGCUUCGUGGAGGAGUUGAGUUACAGCUGAUGGUACAGCCUGGCAAAUCUGAUUGCCCAGUUCUCACUGCCUUUUGAGGUCAGGGUGAUAGUCAAGGAUCCCAGUUACCCCAGUAAACUUCUGACUGCUGUACUGGGUCUGUAGCUGGAGGAGAAGAUCACAGAGCCCUUCUUGGUGGUCAGCCUGGACUCCUAGCCUGGGAUGUGCUUUGAGAUCCCUCCCUGGUGGCUGGACCUGAUUGUCGUGGAGGCUGAGGUGCAGCCAGACAGGCCAGAGGGCCUGUGCCCAUAGCCACAGUGGAGGAGCUGCCAGACACCUUCUAUUACACUCUUCAGAAGUUAGCAGCCUGUGAGAUCCAAGCUCUUCCACAAGGCCCCCUAAAAGUCAGGGCCUCAGCGGGCAGAGGAGACAUAAGAGGAGCAAGAAAGGAGGCAUCAAGUCCUCUCAAGUCUUAGGACUGCAGCAACCCCCUGCACUACCCAAACCCAAGGCGAAGACCUUGCCAGAGUUCACCAAGGAUAGCUCCAGUAUGUACAGCAAGGAUAGCUCCAGUAUGUCCUGGCCACAAGAAGGGCCACAGGACCACUAGGCCCCAAACACAGGAUCUAGGUGAUAAUGAGCAUGAUUAUGAAGGAAAACUUGAACACUUUCAGAAAACCAUCUAA